rnacentral:rRNA from 1 species
UUUUUACGGAGAGUUUGAUCCUGGCUCAGGACGAACGCUGGCGGCGUGCUUAACACAUGCAAGUCGAACGAUGAUGCCCAGCUUGCUGGGUGGAUUAGUGGCGAACGGGUGAGUAACACGUGAGUAACCUGCCCCUGACUCUGGGAUAAGCGUUGGAAACGACG